CAAACAAAUUGAUUUUCGAUCAGGCACAUGACCUGCAGGCGCAAUAUUAAAUCGUUUUCUGAAUACACGCUAAGUUGAAUCGAAUUGAAUUUGAUGAUCGAAGAACUGAAGGAAAAGCAGGCCUCGACAGCGAACGCGUGCUUCUCGUUUGUCCACUGCAUGAUUGAUACUAAACUAAUUUCUCGAAAAAAAUUUAGAUCGCGUGCUUUCGAACGCGCUUUAGGCGUAAGAGUCGCUUU